GGAGUUGUGGCUUAGUGGUAGAGCACUUGCCUAGCAUGUAUGAGGCACUGAGUUUGAUCCUCAGCACCA
rnacentral:tRNA from 1 species